rnacentral:lncRNA from 1 species
UUAUUUUAAUUGUUGCUCUUGACCUGUCAGUUAAUUUUCUGCCGUAAGUUUCUGACUCUGUGGUGGUUAUUUCCGUUAUUUCCGUUAUUUCUGUUGUUUCCGUUAUUUCCGUUACUAUUUCUGUUAUUUUUUUCUGUUAUUUCCGUUAUUAUUUCCGUUAUUUUGGUUUUUUCUGUUCUUUCCGUUGUUGUUCUUGACCUGUCACCUAAUUUUCUGCUGUAUGUUUCUGUCUUUCGGAGGUUAUUUCCGUUAUUUCCGUUAUUUCUUCCAUUUCCGUUGUUGUUCUUGACCUGUCAGUUAAUUUUUUGCCGAAUGUUUCUGUCUCUGUGAAGGUUAUUUCCAUUAAUUCCGUUAUUUCCGUUAUUUCCGUCACUUCCAUAGUUGUUCUAGACCUGUCAUUUAAUUUUCUGCCGUACGUUUCUGUCUCUUUGGAGGUUAUUAUUUUUAAUUCUGUUAUUUCAGUUAUUUCCAUUGUUGUUCACGACCUGUCACUUAAAUUUCUGCCCUAUGUUUCUGUCUCUGUGGGGGUUAUUUCCGUUAUUUCCGUUCUUUCAGUUCUUUCCGUUCUUUCUGUUCUUUCCGCUAUUUCCGUCCUUUCCGUUCUUUCUGUUAUUUUCGUUAUUUCCAUUAUUUCAGUUAUUUCCGUUAUUUCCGUUGUUGUUCUUGACCUGUCACUUAAUUUUCUGCCAUAUGUUUCUGUCUUUGUGGAGGUUAUUUCCGUUAUUUCCGUUAUUUCCGUUUUUUUGUUAUUAUUUCCAUUAUUUCGGUUUUUUCUGUUAUUUCCAUUGUUGUUCUUGACCUGUCACCUAAGUUUUUGCCGUAUGUUUCUGUCUCUCUAGAGGUUCUUUCCGUUCUUUCCAUUGUUGUUCUUGACCUGUCACGUAAUUUUCUGCCGUAAGUUUCUGUCUCUGUCGAGGUUAUUUCCGUUAUUUCCGUUAUUUCCGUUAUUUCCGUUGUUGUUCUUGAUCUGUCACCAAAUUGUCUGACGUAUGUUUCUGUAUCUCUAAAGGUUAUUUUCGUUUUUUCCGUUAUUAUUUCCGUUCUUUCUGUUAUUUCCGUUAUUUCAGUUAUUUCCGUUGUUGUUCUCGACCUGUCACUUAAAUUUCUGCCGUAUGUUUCUGUCUUUGUGGAGGUUAUUUCCUUUAUUUCCGUUAUUUCCGUUAUUUCCUUUAUUUCCG